UCUGACUCUUGUCUUCAUGAUGGUGACCACUGGUUUGGCUGUUAAAAUCAGCAGACUUCUGAAAGUUGUGGAUGAAUUACUGCAACCUGAAAGAAACAAGAAUCUGGGCUCUGAUGACCUGAACUCUGCAGCACUGAGGCUCCUUCCAAAAACACUCAGAAACAGGAGGCCUGCAGAGACACAGGUGGAAACUCAUGUUAUUUAUACUGCCAGCAGAUAGACUCAGGACACAAGUGGAACUGCAACCAGGAGUUUCAUCAUAUUAAUCUGCUAUUUUGCUUUUCUGUGUGUGUGGUGGCAGAAAUAGUUUUUGUAAUCAAGUUCCUGUAUAAAUGGAGAGUCAACA